UCAGCAAGCUUUUUAUUGAAUUUAAAAAAUUAAUUUAGAAUAAUAAAUGGAAAUUAACCAACACUGCACUGGAUAUAAUAUACUAUAAUUAAUAUAAAAUAUUAUAUUAACAGCUUGCAAUUGGGAGAUUUUGGGAAGGUGGAUAUCAAGAGAAAAGAAUAUCAUGCUGCAAUUAAAGCACAGAUACAGCAGUGAAGAGGGCCAUAACCAAACACUCAUAUGGAAAUUCUGCAGUUCAGGACCAACAUACAAAAAUUCAAUGAAUGUAACCAACAACAUAUAGUAGUGAGCAGAACCAACUGUGAUCUCCAAAAGUAAAAUCAAAAUGAGUGCAAAAAAUCUCACUUGAACUUGACUCAUCAAUUGAUAUACCAGUUGAGAAAAUUAUCACUCUUGGAAUGGUUAACCAAGACAAUUUGGUGGUUCACAGCCACUUCAGCAAACUGGCUUGUUCUAAUUCUUUGCUCAAGAUUGUACCCUGCAAAAUGAAUCAUAUUUGCAUUAACAUUUGGUAGUAAACCAUUUCUUUUAAAUGAGUACAUUACCCAUUGGGCUGUUUGGUUCUUGAUCCUGAGCUUUUAACAACUUUGGCAUUAAGCAUGUUGAAUUUAAGCACGAAAGCCUCCUCGGUAGUAAAUACCAAUGUAGAGGGCAUGAUAAACAGGUCAAACUACAGCCCAAGGGAAUUUAAUAUUUUAUUAACUGACUAAAUUCUCCUAACUAUGGACCAUUUGACACUUGCAUGAGAAAGAAAACUAUCACCUAAAGUAUAAAGAGAAUGUCCAAUAGAAUGGAUAAUAAAAGUACAAAUCCACUAACCUUAACCAAUUGUUUCUAAUGACUGGGAGUGUUGCUCCCCAAUUAAAGUUUGAACUCUCUUCACAGAAUUUCCAACUUCCUCUAGUUUCUGUAGUAGCAUUAGGCUCCCUGAAUGAGGAAGCAAAUCAUGCUUGAGAGAUUUUGAUGGAGACAUCUGCAACAACAUGAGGAAGAAGGAGAUUAUACCCAAAAGUCAUUGAUUGAAGAGACUGACAACUAAGAAGGUUCAUGUCCAUAAUGAUAGGUUGCCUAAGUUUGAAUAUAAAAGUUCUUCAUUAACUCAGUACAAGAAUGGCAGGGACCGCAGGGUGAUGUAAAAACUUCCAAAUAUCAAUUUUGGAAGGUGGGAGAAGAGACUAGUCAGAGUGACCUGCCAUACCCAAGGUGAUGAUGGGUGACCUAUCCUCAAAGUAGGAAUGUCUUCAAUUGUGGAAACUCGUCUAGAACCAAACUCACUUCUCAUGUAUGAUAGCCGCGCCAAGACAGCCUGUAAAGGACAUCAUGGGACAAAAGUGGUCGAAUUCCUCCUUUUCAAGUAAUUUACAGCAACUAUUAUUUGACAGACAGUACCUUCUUGAAAGCACUUGGAUUUCCAAUUCCUUGAAUUUGAACAUCAUCACUUGUUGGCCUUCUCACACCAACAUUCUCAAUUCUCAAAGAGUAGACACCAAAAAGAGACUGCAAAUACCCUGACAGCAAUUGCACAGAAUAUGCUUUAAGAAGAUUGAAAUAAUGGCAAAACCCAGAAUGAACCCUCUACUGUACAGAAGGAAGCAUUAUCUCAAAGAAAUGCUGGAAGUAACACUUUUACUAAAAAGACUAAUGAUGGAAUAGAGAAAAUAGGGAGAGUGAAAUACAAUAGCUUGGAAAGGCCUGCACUUUUGAAGUAUAUAUUUAUUCAGGUUCCUAGCAGAGGUCAUACACAUUUAAAACUCAAACAAAAUGAUUGAAGAAAAGUAUGUCUUCAAAAUCAUUGUGAAUUGUAAGAGUUUUUUAUUAGUGAUUAUGUUUAGAUAGAUUAGCGUUCUUUUUCAUAAUGCAUAUUGCAUGGAAGGGAACCUGUUCACUGUGCAACCAAAUUGUGGCAAACUCAGUGUGCAAAUAGAAACAUGGGCAGUGCAUUGUGCCUAAUUGGAAUAUUAGAAAAACUAGUCCAUUGUACUGAGUACUGUGGGUGGUGGGGGGAAGCCAGUGCAUCAUCCCAGUAAUAGAAACAUAGAUUAAUAAACGAUCCAAAAUUUAAUGCAAGGUUAUCAAGGGUUGCUAACAUAUACCUUGCUCAAUUAUGACGUCUGCAACUGAAGGUAAUAAAACAUGCUUCUCUUUCUUUAACACCCCAAAACAUGGAAAUGCUACUGGUUUAGUAACCUGGACUAAAUAACCAAAGCGUCAACUAAUGCAAUCAUACAUGCAUAACUUUGUGCGAUAGACAGAGAAAAUAGUUGCAAUUAGACUGAACCACAUGCAUCCACCCAGAAUACAUUCCAAUUCAAGAAAAGCAAAGAACCCAUUAAAUUUUCAAUCAAAAAAAUUGCUAUCCAAUGAAAUGCACCAAGAAAAAGAAGGAACUCUAAUUUACUUUGUAUACGAUGGCAUUAGGAGUGAGAUAGAGCUUUCUGGACCGAAUAUCUUUCCGUAAGAUAUAUCUCCGCACAGGCAGAUACAGAAGCAUGAAUAAUCCAAUCCCCCAAGCCAGCAUUAGCAGCAAGGAGAACACAACCCAUCGAGCAGUUUGAUACUUAACAAAAUUCUCUUCCAUCUCUUCAAACGACGCCGUAUAAAGCACCCUAUCCUCAUUAGAUUCACUUUCUUCGCCAGACUCACCACCACGCGAUUCCGUCAAUAAACCCUUUUCUAAGCUAUCAAUUUCCACAACUUCAUCUCCAGUUCCCAUCUGAAUCCACAAUUGAAACAAAAACAAUUGCUUGAAAAGUCAACUGAAAGGGGAAAAAAACCAUGGCUUUAGCAAAACUCACAGAUUGAUCAGAAAAUAGUCUUCUUUUGACGGAAGU
rnacentral:misc_RNA from 1 species